UUUCAUGUGGCAUCAUGCUUUCCUCUUUACUAUCUCUGUUGCUUAACCCUUAUUUCUUUUAUUUUUUCGGUGGUAACAUAUCUUUCCUCAACUGUUUUUAUCUUUGUCGCUUUUGGAUUUCCUCUGUUUGGUUUCGUUUCGUAGCCGAGACAAUAGUUUUUUCUGUAGAUCAAUGUUGGCUGCCAACGGACCCAAAAAAAAUUAUCUUAUCACUGUCAUUUGGUUUCAUUUAACAUUAUUACCUCUAGUGAAAUGAGCUUCUUUUUGUUGAGAGAUGUUGGUCUCCAUCGGACCCAACAAAACGUUUCUGUUCGAUUAUUCUUCCUAUCUCGAUCGCCAGCAGAUCUGCUUCUAUUUAUACGCCUCUUAUUCGUAGUCUGUCCCUCUCCACUGCGUCAGCCACCAAUUCUAGCAUUUCAGUUCCCAAAUAAGUUUUUUUAACUAUUGUUCGAGCAUUACCUUCCAUGGUCAGAUCUCUUAGCCUUAGCUCUGCUCCCAUAUUGACAGCUUGGAUACAUGCAAGAGCUUCGAUAGCACACACCGAAGGUAUAUAGUCAUUUUUUAUUGUUUGGAUUCCAAUCACAUGUUCGCUUAAGUCUCUAGCCACCAACCUCGUACAUGAAUUUAGCGAAUGGGCUUGAUAGACAGUGUCAUAAUUUAUUUUUACCAUUGUUCGUUCUUGAGGCUUCCAACUUUUGCAAUAAAUUUUUCUGUUACAUGUUUUUGCACUUACCUUAUCUAUUUUCGCAAUAUAGGCCAUGACUUUUUUUGCUAUCUCCUUGGUUGUAAGUAUCGUUAAUUUGUGUAUGAGUUUGUUUCUUGUUAUCUAACUAACCCAUAGAAUACAUGUCACUUUCUUGUACACUUGUUUGGAAUUGUUCAUAGAGGCUAGUCAUUCAGUUUUGAUGGUUUAAAUCUGAGCUUUCUUGAGACCAUUGCAAAUUUAAUUCCUGUCAUGUUUGUCUUGUUGUUAGGUAGUCCCUGAAGACAUGUUAAACAGUUUCUAGACAAUUAGAAUAUUUGGGGCACUCCGUCGUGUUGGUUAGGCGCUUUUGGUAGAGGUUAUGAAAGUGAGGAAUUUAAUUUUUAAAGAUCCGCCAAUUUUCAAUUGGGUUAAAUAUAAUAUUAGUACCUAAACUUGUGCACUUCUCCCAUAUCGGUAUCUAUAGUUUUUUUGUCCUACAUUGGUACCCAAUUUUUUUUCGCCUACUGGUUUGGUACCUGAGCCUAACGUUGUUAACAUUUUGCUAAUGUGGUAGCACAGACCACUCGUGCGCUGCCACAUGUUGCAAUUCCAACACCCCCUUUGAUCCGUGUUUCUUUUUUUACCUGACCCUUUGGAAGUUUUUGUUUUAAUUUUUUUCCUUUAAAGUUAUUUUUCACCAUCAUCUUCAUCAUUUUCCAACAUUUUUCUCUUUCGUUUUCUUGCAUUUAUUUUUUUACCAUCAUCUUCAACGUUUGCCAUCUAUUUCUCUUUCGUUUUUCAACAUCUUUCAUUUUUCCCUUUUUUGUUUUCUAUUAAAUUUUCUCCUCUUUCAUUCCGUGUUUUCUCUCGUUUUCUUCAAUUCCUAGCUAUCUCUUACAUUUUCCAUUUUGUUCAUGUCUUCACCAUGACUUCUUCUACGAACAAAAAAUUAAGUGGGUAGAGAAGUGUUGUGUACUACCAUUGCGGGUUAAAGGCUCCCGUUUGCAACGCGAAUACUCCAAAGAACAAAGGGAGAAAAUUCUUUGGGUGUUCGAACUUCAAAGAGAUUAAUUGGGGUUUAUGUUUUUCAUAUAACAUUUUGUUGCAAUUUUGGUUUAAGAUGUAAUCUUAGUUUUUUAAUAUUAUAUUUUUUGUUUUGUUGAAUGUGAUAAAUGAAUGCCGAGGGAUGCGAUUUUUUUCAAUGGGUUGAAGGUAAUAGUGAGGGGGACAAACUCAACUACAAAAGAAAAAGGAUGCACAAUCGAUGAAAUAAUGCUAGAAAAUAAGAAUUUAUUGACAGAGAACAGAAGAUUAAGACUUGAGAACGAUGAGUUCAAUAUUGACGAAAUGUGAAGAAUACAAUUAAGGGUAACUCAUUUGGAAGUGAAGAUAAAAUUGUACAAGGAAAAAAUGUCAAGGAACAACAAAUUAAUGGUUGCUUAUAAGUUGUUGUUAAUUGUACAAUGGAUGAUGUUUUUUGGUUAUUUUGCUUGUGGAUGGUAUGUUGUCCAUAUAUUUGUAUUAGUUGUUAAGAAAGAAUGAAUUGAAUAAUGUUGUUGUAUAAUGAUAUUGUAAAAGUACAUGCAUAUACAAAAUUGGCAUCAACAAAAUUGAACCA